UUUGCUCUAUAAAUUUAAGGAUGAUUGAUCGAGACUGCAUAAACAGGACAUCCACGGAUGAAGAUAUAAUAUGAUCAUGAUCUUUUUUUGUUGGGAAAAUGGGGUUCUUCAAUCAUUAUGUCUUAUGGUUAAUUAAAGUAUGAUUACUGACCUUCAAGGCUUUUCUAUACGGUGUUCCAGGAAAAUUUAGUGGAGCAGAAACCACUCCUUUCAUGAAAGUAACAUACUCUUUCUUCAGCUGCUCAGUCUCUGGCUUUCCAGGAUCCAAGCUCAUCAUAUGUUUUGCCAUCAAAUUGAAGUUUCAAGAAUUACCUUCUUUGCUUCAUCUUGAGCUGAAAAUGUACAAUUCUCCUUCCAAGAACUAAGAACAAGCAAGGUUUGCUUCUCCACUUCUUUCAAUAGAUGACUUCUUAACCUGGCAUGGCUCAAAAAGUUGAGAGAUA